rnacentral:rRNA from 1 species
GACGAACGCUGGCGGCGUGCUUAACACAUGCAAGUCGAACGGUAAGGCCCUUCGGGGUACACGAGUGGCGAACGGGUGAGUAACACGUGGGUGAUCUGCCCUGCACUUCGGGAUAAGCCUGGGAAACUGGGCCUAAUACCGGAUAGGACCACUGCCUGCAUGGGUGGUGGUGGAAAGCUUUUGCGGUGUGGGAUGGGCCCGCGGCCUAUCAGCUUGUUGGUGGGGUGAUGGCCUACCAAGGCGACGACGGGUAGCCGGCCUGAGAGGGUGACCGGCCACACUGGGACUGAGAUACGGCCCAGACUCCUACGGGAGGCAGCAGUGGGGAAUAUUGCACAAUGGGCGCAAGCCUGAUGCAGCGACGCCGCGUGAGGGAUGACGGCCUUCGGGUUGUAAACCUCUUUCAGCACCGACGAAGCGCAAGUGACGGUAGGUGCAGAAGAAGGACCGGCCAACUACGUGCCAGCAGCCGCCGAA